UACCAGGUGCCUGGUACAGUAAAACCAGGUGCCUGGUACAGUAAAUACCAGGUCCCGGGUACAGUAAGUACCAGGUGCCGUGUACAGUAAAUAAGAGGGGCCGGGUACAGUAAAUACCAGGUGCCGGGUACAAUAAAUACCAGGUGCCAGGAACAGUCAAUACCAGGUGCCGGGUACAAUAAAUACCAGGUGCCUGGUACAGUAAAACCAGGUGCCGGGUCCCGUGAAAACCUGGUGCAGAGUAGAGUAAAACCAGGUGCCGGGACAGUAAAUACUAGGUGCAAACUACAGUAAAUACUAGGUGCAAACUACAGUAAGUACUAGGUACUAGGUGCAAACUACAGUAAAUACUAGGUGCAAACUACAGUAAAUACUAGGUGCAAACUACAGUAAAUACGAAGUGCAAACUACAGUAAAUACUAGGUGCAGACUACGUAAAUACUAGGUGCAAACUACAGUAAAUACUAGGUGCAAACUACAGUAAGUACUAGGUGCAGACUACAUAAAUACUAGGUGCAAACUACAGUAAAACUAGGUGCAAACUACAGUAAAUACUAGGUGCAAACUACAGUAAAUACCAGGUGCAAACUACAGUAAAUACCAGGGGCAAACUACAGUAAAUACCAGGUGCAAACUACAGUAAAUGCUAGGUGCAAAUUACAGUAAAUACUAGGUGCAGACUACAGUUAAUACCAGAUUCUAUGUGUAGUAAGUACCAACCCGUGAAGAUCUGGGUCAGAAUGGGUCUUUCAGCAACCCAUGCUUGUCGUAAAAGGCGACU